GCCACCAAGAAGGUGAAGGGAGGGUCAGUCCCAAUCUGAAUCCCACCAAAAUAGGUGGUAGAGGGUUGCCCUCCUUUCUUCCCUCACCUCUGACC
ensembl:miRNA MIR4290 microRNA 4290